GGCAGGAUGACCAGUAGAUGUUAAAUAUAUUAAAAUAUAAAUUAGAUACACAAUAAGUAUACAUGACCAAACCGUUAUUUUGCCGUACAAAAAGAAUCAGACUCUGAAAUAUUGUACAAUUAGCUUAUGAAGGAAAUCAAAAAUGCAGGUGGGCAUAAAUAUAGGGAUUGGGAAUUCAAUGUAAUGGUUUUUAGUCAUCUCCCAGAGUUCUUUUUCUGGGAAUAGCUGGUUCAAUUCAUUACUGCUCCAUUGGAAAUGAUUUGGUUGAUCUCGUUGCUGAGGAUGGCCUGGUCCAUCAGAACUGGUCAUCAUAUAGUACCGUUGUUGAAGUAUAUAAUGAUCUCCUGGUCCUGCUCAUUUCACUCAGCAUCAGUUUGUGUAAGUCUCUCCAGGCCUUUCUGAAAUCAUCCUGUUGGUCAUUUCUUACAGAACAGUAAUAUUCCAUAAUAUUCAUAUACCACAAUUUAUUCAGCCAUUCUCCAACUGAUGGACAUCCAUUCAGUUUCCAGUUUUUAGCCACUACAAAAAGGGCUGCCACAAACAUUCGUGCACAUACAGGUCCCUUUCCCUUCUUUAUAAUCUCUUUGGGAUAUAAUCCCAGUAGUAACAACAUUUUCUUGCAAGAUCAUAAUAAACCCCUUUUUGCUUUUUCUUACUCUGAAAGUCUCUGAUUAUUUUUGUGGUCAAUAUUGUCCCACACAGUUUGGAGGCUUAUUCUCGGAUAUUUCCUGUUUAUGAAGGGUCUCUCUUAUACAGGUGCUCUCCAGAGAGUUCCCCAGUGGUCCUUGAACUUCACUCAGGAACUCCCACUUUGAUCGAGUAAACUCCCAAAGAGAGACACUUGAAGAAAGCACAAAUGCAAGUUGUAAUGCCAGAGAAACUGAGCAAGACAGAGAUGAGAAAUCAAUUCAAUAGUUUAUAAAAUGGAGAGAGAUACUGGGACCAAUGGACCCAUGUUUGUUCCUAGGGCUGGACGAGACUAUCAUCUCAAAGAGUCCAGCCCUCAAGUAUCAGAGGGCAAGCUUUUUAUAGAAUAACGAGAACAAUGACAUAAUAGGGGAGGUACCUAGGUGGGGAUAACCUAAUGGUGGGAGGCCCCUAAGAUGACACAAGGAAGGGAGGUUACUGAUAUUCUAAUGACAUCUAAAAUGGAUAAACCUUUAUCCUGUCAACCUUAAGAAGGAAUGUCUAUAACCUAAAGAUAUAAAACCUUUAUCUCAUCAACCAUUUAAGAGGGAAUUAUUAUAGCAUAGGGUUUGGGAGCAGAGCAGCUGAGGUAAACCUUGAUCUCAUCAAACAUUAAUAGGGAAAGGUUAUAACCUGAGGCAGAAUAAAUAGGACUGUGGGGAAACUAGGUCAGGACAUCAAAAGGGAACUUUGGCACAACAUUCCCCACUCUUUCUUUUGUAACUAUUCAAAUCUUUGAAUUACCUUCCUCUAGAAGGUCUUAGCACCAUAAUUUUGAACAAUCCUAUGUGAAGUAAAUAGACCAAAUAAAAAUUAAAAUAAAGCUAGAACAAUGCAAGGACUUAAGGCAAGGUCAAGUCUCUCCCUGAUAACCUCAGAGUUAAUCAGCAAUAUACAAAGUUCCUUAUUGCAAUCACUUCCCUAACUGCAGAGGAGAACUUUGGUCAUUUGUGCAUGACUCGGCCUCUGCUUACAGAGCAGCAGGGCUCAAGACAGUUGUGCUGCCCAUUCAGAGGGAUAACCUGCUCCAGAGGAGAAAGGUGAGGCUUGGAGUAGCUCUACCUGUCCCUGCCCAGAGGAAAAGACAGGGCUGCAGAAAGGAUAAGAUUUCUGAACAGAUUAUGCACAGUUAGACAACAGCAGGCAAACCCCAAACGUUUAGAGGUCUGAUAUCAACUACAAGGUUCUUUUAAGUACACUGAAAUACUAAUUAAGGACCUGGGGUAAUAGGAGUGGAGAGACAAAUCAGAGAGACUGCCAGUCUCAAGACAGGUAUCCAAUUUCUGGUUGUUUCUAAAAAGUAAUCCCCAAAACUGAGUCUGCCAGGGCAAUUCCAACAGAAUAAGGGAUUUCAAAGUUAAAGCACAACCAGCAAAUCAUAGUCUAGGAAAUUUAAGCAAGGAGUAAAAAAUGAAAAGGACUGUUUAAGGACUUCCAAUUAAAUCUGAACUAGUAACAUAGGGGAUAGGGAAGAAGUGCCUAAGAAAAUACACCAGUUUCCCAAUUUCCUAUUUCUUCCUCCUUUUUUUCUUUUGGAAAGGAAUUAUCAAAUGACCAUCCCACAUAUAAAUCAUACACGUAUGCAUAUACAUAACAGACUAAAAGUCCCUCAAACAUAACAGCAAUAGUUACACGUUUAACAAUUUCCAUUCCAAGUCUUAAACACACAGUAAUACAGUUAAAAUUCUAACAAGUCAACCAUUUUUCCACUCCCCCAUAUCAGUCCAAAUUACAUCAGGAAAAGGGGCGAUGAUUCUCAAAAGCUGCUGAAGAUGCUCAGUCCAGAGAGGGGGAUGUGUGUAUGUAGUGUGGCGUGUUGACAAUCAAAGCUUGAUGUAGGUCCCAGAAGCAAGUCAAUAUAUCUGUAAUUUGACCAAAUCUAGAAAUAAAAACAAAUCUAACAAAGAAAAGUUAGAACAGUCUGAGAUAGAAAGACUGGUCCUCAAGGACUGCUACAAGAUGUGGCCUCUCAUUAGUUAUAAACCUUAAAAAAAAAUCUUGAAUAUCGACAAUAUCUAGUAACCAAUAGAUGACCAGACUAAAUACUUAUUUGCUCAAGUAUUUAGGAUAUAAUGAUUACAGAUUGUAAACAGCAAGGUAUGACAUAAUUGAAUUGCAUUAACAAUUUCUUAUUGACUAUUGUUCUGAUUAUAGAAAUCAGUUACAGGAGGAAAAAAUGCAGUGCAUAUUAACUACAAACCCAAGAAAUUUUACCUCUAGUAACAAAUCCUAAACAGAUAUUUACCAUAGCCUUAUUAGUUUGCUGCUUUUAGCCAAGAACCAAGUAGCUACAACUUGAUAAAAAACAUCUGGAACAGUUUAGAGGGAGGGGGGAGGAGAGGAUUCCAUAUUACUACCCUUCCCCCCACUCCACCUCCAAAGAGACAGGGGCAGGAGGGAAGUUGAACUAAACUUCACUCCAGGCUAACUAGAUGCUCCAAUAGCUGAAGUAACAGCAGUGGGGGGCAAAUUUAAAUCUUUACAAAAGAUCGCUACCCCACCCAACAUUUAAAGUAGCAGAAAUCAGUGGGUGUGUGUGGGGGGAGAAUUCCAUAAAACCCACAUGUCCAGCAGAACUGGAUUUAAAGCAUAAUUUACAAUGUUAUAAUAUAGGUAACAAACAGCUUUAAAUUCCCACUAAUAUAAAACUGCUUUUCCUAUCUCAUUUCACAUAAUGAAACAGCACAGUUUCUUUCUCUCCUUCUGGCCCCAUGUGGCCAUUAUUCCCAAUGGACUCCCCCUAAGGUCCAACUUGGCCAGAGUUGAAGCUUUCAGAAAAGUCAGAUCCUUUUUGCUACAUACUUUACCUAAUUAGAGGCACAAGACUCCUUUCAGGCAAGUUAACAGAACUUCUUUAACAAUCUAUUGUUCUUUUAAGAUCUUAUACUUAAAGAUAUCCAAUUCUAGCCUGCAUAGGCAACAGUAAAAUUUAUUUCCCAAAUUUAGAAUCAUCUUUAAAUUCCUAAUCAAAUGUUUUUUCCAGCUGGCGUUCAGUAUUGAAAUAACCAAUUCCCAAAUUUGAUCAUUGUUCUUAAAUUUAACAGAGCUCUUAAAUUAACAAAACAGACAAACAAAUUACACAGAAUACAGCAGCCAUUUAACACAGACAAAAAAUAACACAGAAAGACUAUCCACUAGCCAUUUAACAUUUAACACAAACCAGGGCUAUCUGGAAAGAAUAGCCCUGAGGUGGUGUUGUCUGCUCCAGUCUUUCCUCCCUCCCAUAAUCCAAAUGGAGCCUUUUUUUUUUAACCUUAAGCCACAAAACAGGAAAUAACAUACAAGACAUACAGAACACUGAUCACACUUAGACUACACAAUUACAACAUUCAACAGGACACUAACAUUAAAACCAAGCCAAAUGGCAUCUUAAAAUCCCCAGUCUUUGUAGAUAGCCCCCUGAGCAUGCAAAAGCGUAAUUCUGAGGCUUCUACAGUUAAAAGGCUGCAACGGGAGGAGUAUUGCUCUAACACGGAAUGACCAAAUCAGGGAAACUGAGUCCCGUUUUCCAAUGUAUACACUCCCCACUCCAUAGAAGAAGGGGGAGGAAAGGCCAGAUCUAGGGUGGGGGAGGAAGAGAUGCCAUUUUACCCAUGGCGGUGUGUCCCGAAUGGCGAGGGCUCCUCUGGUGGUUCCACAUUGGAACUUGAGGGCGAGGUAGCUCAUCUAAGCCCUCAAAUCUUGCUGGGAGAGCAAGACCUGAAGGAGAGAUCAUUUACCCCUGUCCAGGGAGUAGCAGCCGUGGGCAGAGACAUUCUCUAAACUCACCCCAAUUCAGUGACCUUUCUCCUCGUGGCUACAGCCUGACCAUUAACGACUCCAUUGCAUUUAACAGUGGAGUGGGAGAAGGGCUCAGACACAGCUCCUCUUAAGUUUCUCCGGUUAUCUCCCCAGAACAGAUCAACGAAAGCGCAGGCCUGGGACCCCCAAAAAGGGUGGUGUCCCCAGAACAGCCAUGUGUCUCUUUGGUCUGGGGGGGGGGUGUUAAAAGAGACACUUCCUCUCAUGUCUUGGAGUCCCUGCCUGAGAGCAGGGCUUUCUGGUGAGAGAGAAAAAAAAGAUUAGAAAUGCAUUGACAUGCAAAGGAAGGGCCUUUGUCUCUGGAAAGGAUUUGGACAGAGGGAGUUUCCUCAAGCAAAAAAUCUUCUGGAGGAAAGAUUUUAGAGGCAGAGAAAAAAAAGUCUUUUACCUUGUUCAGAGUUCCGGAUUUCCUGGUCAAGAACCAAGCCAAAUGGUGUCUCAAAAAGGACGCCCCAAUUGUGACAACUGCGUCCGGUUAGACACUAAUCAAGAAUCAAGCCAAAUGGUGUCUCAAAAAGGACGCCCCAAUUGUGACAACUGCGUCCGGUUAGACACUAAUCAAGAAUCAACCCAAAUGGUGUCUCAAAAAGGAUGCCCCAAUUGUGACAAUUGUGUCCGGUUAGACACUAAUCAAGAAUCAAGCCAAAUGGUGUCUCAAAAAGGACACCCCAAUUGUGACAACUGCGUCCGGUUAGACACUAAUCAAGAAUCAAGCCAAAUGGUGUCUCAAAAAGGACGCCCCAAUUGUGACAACUGCGUCGGGUCAGAC
rnacentral:lncRNA from 1 species